GAGUAACGCGCGGGUAACCUGCCCUUAAAUUCGGGAUAACUUCGCGAAAGUGAUGCUAAUACCGGAUACUGUCCUUAAGACCUUGGUUUUUUGGAUGAAAGGUGACCUCUUCAUGAAAGUUGCCGUUUAAGGAGGGGCUCUCGUACCAUUAGCUUGUUGGUGGGGUAAUGGCCCACCAAGGCGACGAUGGUUAGCUGGUCUGAGAGGAUGAUCAGCCACACUGGAACUGAAACACGGUCCAG
rnacentral:rRNA from 1 species